GGGCGCCGCAGGUCCAUCCUUCACCAGAGACUGCACCCACGACAAAUCCGGCUCGUUCGUUGCGCCGGUGGCUGGAGCUACCCCUCCGAUGGCGGCCUGACUGCUGCGGAAGGCGAAAGAUGCCGACUUUCUCAGCUUGUUCAGCUCCUCUCCUUGAAUACCCCAGUCCAAUUUACCGUCCGGCGAGCCCCAGUCGGACAUGAGCGACGGCGGGGCCGCCGCUGAUGCCGCGGUCGACAUGGCAGAGAGUGUCGAUUGGCGACCAGCGGUCGCCCCUCGGUCGCAGAAGCUCUGGCUGCGCUUAGCGAACGCGGAAGCCCUGGAAUUCAUGAUGGCCUUUGCCAGUGAGUGGUCGAGCCCGAACGACGAUGCGGCGCUAACAGGAGGGGAAGAAGACAGGCCCCCACCGUAUCCAGACAGCAAUUGAGACUGGUGCAUCUGGAUUGCAGCAGGGGAUUGCAUCUGAGGCCCCGUCUUCUUCCUCGCGGAGAGCCCCUGCAAUUGGGUUAGCAGCGAUGGAUCGACAGAACCCAACAGAUCAGUGUAGUCUGGAGCUCGAGUGGUUGCCGCGGCUAAGUUGUUCGUUCCCCAGCUGGCCCGCGGAGAGGCCGUUUUUGCGAUUUCGUCGACAAGCUUCUGCUGAUACUCUUCUAAUCCGAGCAACUUGAGGUCGAAAUCCAAGUCUCUGGCACUCAGCGAAGCCUUGAGCCUGCUGCUCGGCAGCUGUAAGGCCGGAGGAGUCACCACGCCGCCCGUCUGAUUCAUCCAUGCCGCUGCGGACCCUAUGCCCGAUGAAGCCGAGGGGGACAUGGGGGAGCCGGGCUGCUGCAUCAGCGUCAAG
rnacentral:lncRNA from 1 species